rnacentral:pre_miRNA from 1 species
UAGGAGAGAGUUGUAUGCUAGACUUUUUUACAUAUGUAAGAAAGUAUACUUAUAUGUGAGAAAUUCUAGCAGAUGACUUUCUACUA